GAAAAUCUCCACUUCAACACCGAUGAAGGCAGUGGAAGCACUGUAGCACGCGACCUAGUUCAGCUGGACCUAGCUCUCGGCCCCCUCUGAGCCUCCCACGUGCCGGGCUGACAGCAUGGACCGUCAUGGCCUUUCAGAUCUCAGUGUGCUCCUACACUUUCCAGCUGAAAACAUUUCUCUCCAACACUACCACUUAUUUCCUAUUUGAAAUUACAUCUUUCAAAGAUUCGUUUUAAAUAUAUGAAUGUUUUUUCUGUGUUUGUAUGUUCA
rnacentral:lncRNA from 1 species